rnacentral:lncRNA from 1 species
GAAAAUAUCAAAUUUCACAAUGCUCUGGCUAGCAGUGUCUAGAAUAAAUCUCAUCAUGGAUGCAUUGUGUUUUUCCCUAUUUUCUGCUGAAAAUUAUAUGGUAUUCACGUCUUGCCUCGUUGCGCUUAGCGAACUCGGAUGGUCCAAUGUAAUAACUUAUCCAGUUUACUGGUAUAAAACAUGUUACUUGUUGCGGUCUUCUCCCAAUUGGGGUAGUUGGUCUGGAGUCAAUUUGCUGCGUCGGG